rnacentral:tRNA from 1 species
CGAUUUUUAGCUCAUUAGGUUAGAGCAUAUGUCUAUUAAACAUGUGGUAGUUGGUUCGAAUCCAGCAAAAUCAA